CCGGCGAGUGGCGAACGGGUGAGUAAUGCAUCGGAACGUACCCAGUGGUGGGGGAUAGCUCGGCGAAAGCCGGAUUAAUACCGCAUACGCCCUGAGGGAGAAAGUGGGGGAUCUUCGGACCUCACGCUAUCAGAUGAGCCUAGGUCGGAUUAGCUAGUUGGUGAGGUAAAGGCUCACCAAGGCGACGAUCCGUAACUGGUCUGAGAGGAUGAUCAGUCACACUGGAACUGAGACACGGUCCAGACUCCUACGGGAGGCAGCAGUGGGGAAUAUUGGACAAUGGGCGAAAGCCUGAUCCAGCCAUGCCGCGUGUGUGAAGAAGGUCUUCGGAUUGUAAAGCACUUUAAGUUGGGAGGAAGGGCAGUAAGUUAAUACCUUGCUGUUUUGACGUUACCAACAGAAUAAGCACCGGCUAACUUCGUGCCAGCAGCCGCGGUAAUACGAAGGGUGCAAGCGUUAAUCGGAAUUACUGGGCGUAAAGCGCGCGUAGGCGGUCUGAUAAGCCGGUUGUGAAAGCCCCGGGCUCAACCUGGGAACGGCAUCCGGAACUGUCAGGCUAGAGUGCAGGAGAGGAAGGUAGAAUUCCCGGUGUAGCGGUGAAAUGCGUAGAGAUCGGGAGGAAUACCAGUGGCGAAGGCGGCCUUCUGGACUGACACUGACGCUGAGGUGCGAAAGCGUGGGUAGCAAACAGGAUUAGAUACCCUGGUAGUCCACGCCCUAAACGAUGUACACUAGUUGUUGUGAGGCUCGACCUUGCAGUAAUGCAGUUAACACAUUAAGUGUACCGCCUGGGGAGUACGG
rnacentral:rRNA from 1 species